GCUUGUCCUCACAAACACAGCCUUUGGUACCUCAGUUAAUUUAUUGGAUUAACAAAUAACAAACAUAAACAUAAAGCCAUAACACAACAAAAACAAAACAAAAUUCCCAGUACUCCACACAGAAAAGACAGCUCUCAGCCGUCUGGAUCGUUUUUCUUUCCACUUUAAUAUUCAAACCGCACUCAUACUCAUAUGAUCACUGCCAUGCCUCCUUCGUUCACUCGCAUUUCUUCGAACAGGUAGUCGUCACCUCAGUAACGCUCUCACAGUCUUUCUUCUUCUCCCAUGGCUUCUUCUUCUGCUUCUCUGCUCUCUCAGGCCUCGCUCGCCCACAAUUCGGGCCUGUCUAGGCGCCCGGCAGCUUUCUUCGGGGCUCGGAGGUCGUUGACUCCACUGCCGCUGGGGUUGGAGGUGCCGGCGGAGAAGAGGGCUCUGCUGCGGAAGCGGGGAGUUCCGGUGGCCAGCGCUGAGGUAGUAGUGGACGAUCGACUUGUUGAAAAGAGGGGAGAGAAAGGUACGCUUCUGAGAGUUGGACUGAUCUGUGGAGGUCCGUCUGCCGAGCGUGGAAUCUCUCUCAAUUCUGCAAGAUCAGUCCUUGAUCAUAUACAGGGGGACGAUUUGCAUGUUAGCUGCUACUACAUUGAUUGCAAUCUCAAGGCCUACGCAAUAUCCCCUGCUCAGGUAUACUCAAAUACUCCUGCAGAUUUUGAUUUUAAACUCGAAAGCCUUGCCCAAGGAUUCGAGUCAUUGUCUGACUUUGCAGACCACCUUGCUGGCUCUGUGGACAUAGUUUUUCCUGUUAUACAUGGUCGUUUUGGUGAAGAUGGUGGCAUUCAGGAGCUGUUGGAAAAAUCAAAUAUACCAUUCGUUGGCACGGGUUCGGCUGAAUGUUGUAAAGCAUUUGACAAGUAUGAUGCAUCCUUGAUGCUGAACAGACAUGGAUUUGUUACGGUGCCUAAUUUCUUAGUGCAGGGAAAUGAGAAGGAUGAAUCAGAUUUGUCAGAGUGGUUUGUGAGAAAUCAACUGGAUACUAACCUUGGCAAAGUAGUGGUAAAACCAACAAAAGCAGGUUCAAGCAUUGGAGUAACAGUAGCUUAUGGUGUUACUGAUUCGCUUAAGAAAGCUAAUCAAAUAAUUUCAGAGGGAAUUGAUGACAAAGUCCUUGUUGAAAUUUUUCUUAACGGAGGGAGUGAAUUUACUGCAAUUGUUCUUGAUGUGGGUUCCGGUUUCAGUUGCCAACCUGUUGUACUGCUUCCAACAGAGGUAGAACUUCGGUUCCAUGGCAGUACUGAUCUAAGUGAAAAGGAUGCAAUAUUCAAUUACCGAAGGAAGUAUCUUCCCACUCAGCAGGUUGCAUACCACACUCCUCCUCGUUUUCCUCUAGAUGUGAUUCAAAACAUUCGUGAGGGAGCAUCUCUAUUGUUUGAACAGCUUGGCCUACAUGAUUUUGCUAGGAUUGAUGGCUGGUUUUUGCCACCAACUACCUGUGUUUCAUCUUCUUUGGACCCUAAAUUUGGAAAAACUCAAUCGGGUACAAUAAUAUUUACAGACAUCAACCUGAUUAGUGGGAUGGAGCAAACGAGCUUCUUAUUUCAGCAAGCUUCAAAGGUCGGAUUUUCUCAUUCGAACAUUCUCAGAACCAUCAUCCGACAUGCUUGUUUGAGAUUUCCUGGUCUGGCUUCAUACAGUAUCACCUCUAGUCACAGAAGUAGAAGAUCACAGGUCACUAAAUUGUUCCACAGACAGCAAGAUGCUCACAAAGUUUUUGUCAUUUUUGGUGGAGACACUUCUGAACGACAAGUAUCUCUUAUGAGUGGAACAAAUGUUUGGCUCAAUUUGCAAGCUUUCAAUGAUCUUGAAGUAACACCGUGUCUGCUUGCCCCAACACAAGGUUAUUCAUCCAAGGAAGUAUCUGAAAAUGAGGAAAUGGAUGUGAGCUCAAGAGCAGUUUGGUCAUUACCAUACUCUCUUGUGCUGAGACAUACAACAGAAGAAGUGCUUGAUGCAUGCAUAGAGGCUAUUGAACCAACUCGAGCAGCAUUGACAUCUCAGUUACGGAACCAAGUGAUGAAUGAACUCAUGGAAGGUUUGGAACAGCAUAGUUGGUUCACUGGGUUUGAUAUAUCUGAUGAACCACCAGUAAAGUUGGCACUUGAGCAGUGGAUCAAACUAGCUAAGGAAGUUCAGGCAACUGUUUUCAUUGCAGUGCAUGGAGGCAUUGGUGAAGAUGGUACACUUCAGUCAUUGCUAGAGGCCGAGGGAGUUCCUCAUACAGGUCCUGGUGUAAUUGCUUCAAAGACUUGCAUGGACAAAGUUGCAACAUCUCUUUCUCUUAACCAUCUUGCAGAUCUGGGAGUUCUUACCAUCAACAAGGAUGUACGAAGAAAAGAGGACCUGCUGAAUACACCUAUUGUUGAUAAUUGGAAAGAGCUGACCUCAAACCUUAAGUGUGAAACAUUAUGUGUUAAACCAGCAAGAGAUGGAUGCUCUACUGGAGUGGCAAGAUUAUGCUGUUCAGAGGACCUUGCAGUGUAUGUAAAAGCAUUGAAGGAUUGCCUUCGAAGAAUUCCACCAAAUAAUUUGUCAAGGUCACAUGGAGUGAUUGAGAUGCCAAAUCCUCCACCAGAGCAUUUAAUUUUUGAACCUUUUAUUGAGACUGAUGAGAUAAUUGUCUCGUCAAAAUCCUCAAGUGAUGGUGCACGUCGCCUAUUGUGGAAAGGGCAUAGUAGAUGGGUAGAAGUAACUGUUGGUGCACUAGGACUGCGUGGAUCAAUGUACUCGUUAACUCCUAGUGUUACUGUCAAAGAAACUGGUGAUAUUUUGUCACUUGAGGAAAAAUUCCAAGGUGGAACUGGCAUCAAUUUGACUCCGCCCCCAUUAUCAAUUGUUAGUAAUGAUGCAUUGGCAAAAUGUAAACAACGUAUUGAACUCAUAGCAAACACUCUGCAAUUGGAAGGAUUCUCACGCAUUGAUGCUUUUGUUAAUGUCGACAGUGGCGAGGUUGUGAUCAUAGAGGUUAAUACGGUGCCUGGAAUGACGCCAUCUACGGUUUUGAUUCAUCAGGCACUGGCCGAGCAACCUCCCGUUUAUCCUCGCGAUUUCUUCCGGAAACUGCUUGAUUUGGCAUCAGAGAGAGGACCGGCAGUGCUGGCGUAAAUUAAAUUUAAUUCUCUUGCUUGUUACGAAGCAGUUUGCUUCCUUAUAUUAAAUUGCCAAUCGUUUUGGAUUUUCUCGAUCGCGUAAAGUUCAAUUCCCAAGCUUUUCUUUCUUGGCAACUUUUAUCUAAAUAAAUGCAACUCUUCAAUCAUGGGGUGGUGGUUGCAGCUUCUACGCUGCGCAUGGCCUUAAAAAUGCAAUGAUUUCGUCGAUACUAGAGUGAUGAUGGUUUUUGGGACCGACCACCACGUGCCACCUCUGCGACUGGACCUCGGGAAUGGAAUCUCGGACUUGGGGAUGUCGGACCUCGGGUGUAGAACCUGCAAGACAAUGGAGGGCAGGGGCUUGGAUCUCCCGGGGUGGACUCCGACGCUCAAAUCAGUAGAGUAAAUGUAAGUAGUAGUAAAUGAGAGAGCUGUAGAGCUUGAAUAUACCUGGCGAGAGUCCUUGUCUUUUAUAGGCGAACCCGUUUUGGGUACCCGAAAUGAGCAGGCACGACUUUCGAGAAUCUUGGUCAAAUUGAAACGGGUCUUGCGGUUCGACCCGGAUUUCCUGGGCUCCGCUCAGGAGUAUUGACUUGCCACGUGUCGGUCUCUCCGGUGAUCCACGUGGCAGGUGAGAUUGAGACUAUUAGCGCGUAUGGGUAUUCUAAUAAUUUUAGAUAAUGCCAUAUCAUAGAGUGAGUUUGUUUGGCUGCAAAAAUAUUCUUUGGAAAAUGAUCUCUUUAUGUUUUGGUAAUGGGAGGCUUUGGGUAGGAAUUAUCCUCUCUCCGCCUAUGUAUUGUAUUGUAUCCCAAUUCGCAUCUUUAUUGUUA